CCCUUAGAUGUUCUGGGCCGCACGCGCGCUACACUGACGAAUGCAACGAGCUUAUAACCUUGGCCGAAAGGUCUGGGUAAUCUCCAAAUUUCGUCGUGAUGGGGAUAGAUUAUUGCAAUUAUUAAUCUUCAGCGAGGAAUGCCUAGUAAGCGCAAGUCAUCAGCUUGCGUUGAUUACGUCCCUGCCCUUUGUACACACCGCCCGUCGCUCCUACCGAUUGAAUGGUCCGGUGAAGCGCUCGGACCGCGGCCUCUUGACGGUUCGCUGUCGAUUGGCUGUGGGAAGUUCGUUAAACCUUAUCAUUUAGAGGAAGGAGAAGUCGUAACA
rnacentral:rRNA from 1 species